rnacentral:sRNA from 1 species
UGCUAGCCCUGAUGGGAGCGGCAUCCUCACGGAGUUUACGAAGUGAGAUACAGCGGACAGCAGGAAAUAGC